AGAGUUUGAUCCUGGCUCAGGAUGAACGCUGGCGGCGUGCUUAACACAUGCAAGUCGAACGAACCUUCGGGUUAGUGGCGGACGGGUGAGUAACGCGUGAGAAUCUGCCCUCAGGAGGGGGACAACAGCUGGAAACGGCUGCUAAUACCCCAUAUGCCGCGAGGUGAAAUGAAUUUCGCCUGAGGAUGAGCUCGCGUCUGAUUAGCUAGUUGGUGUAGGUAAUGGCUCACCAAGGCAUCGAUCAGUAGCUGGUCUGAGAGGAUGAUCAGCCACACUGGGACUGAGACACGGCCCAGACUCCUACGGGAGGCAGCAGUGGGGAAUUUUCCGCAAUGGGCGAAAGCCUGACGGAGCAACGCCGCGUGAGGGAUGAAGGCCUCUGGGCUGUAAACCUCUUUUAUCAAGGAAGAAGAUCUGACGGUACUUGAUGAAUAAGCCACGGCUAAUUCCGUGCCAGCAGCCGCGGUAAUACGGGAGUGGCAAGCGUUAUCCGGAAUUAUUGGGCGUAAAGCGUCCGCAGGCGGCCCUUCAAGUCUGCUGUUAAAACGUGGAGCUUAACUCCAUCAUGGCAGUGGAAACUGUUGGGCUUGAGUGUGGUAGGGGCAGAGGGAAUUCCCGGUGUAGCGGUGAAAUG
rnacentral:rRNA from 1 species